rnacentral:rRNA from 1 species
AUAAUACUCCAUAGAUUAGAGACACUGGAAUGUUCUUUAGUCGAAAGUUCUGGCGCCUUAGGAUGGAUCUGCGGUCGAUUAGGUUGUUGUUGGGGUAACGGCCCAACAAGCCUGUAAUCGAUACGGGUUGUGGGAGCAAGAGCCCGGAGAUGGAAUCUGAGACACGAUUCCAGGCCCUACGGGGCGCAGCAGGCGCGAAAACUUUACAAUGCAGGAAACUGUGAUAAGGGAACUCCGAGUGCCCGUAUACGCGGGCUGUCCAGGUGUUUAAAAAUCAUCUGAAGAAAGGGCCGGGCAAGACCGGUGCCAGCCGCCGCGGUAAUACCGGCGGCUCGAGUGGUGGCCACUAUUAUUGGGCUUAAAGCGUCCGUAGCUGGACUGAUAAGUCUCUUGGGAAAUCCGCCGGCUCAACCGGCGGGCGUCUAAGGGAUACUGUUGGUCUAGGGACCGGGAGAGGUGAGAGGUACUCCGGGGGUAGGAGUGAAAUCCUGUAAUCCCCGGGGGACCACCGAUGGCGAAGGCAUCUCACCAGAACGGCUCCGACAGUGAGGGACGAAAGCUGGGGGAGCAAACCGGAUUAGAUACCCGGGUAGUCCCAGCCGUAAACUAUGCGCGUUAGGUGU